AUAUCCAAAUCCAUGCUCAUUUACAUAUGAGCAGCAUUGUUUCUGCCCUUUUGAGUAUGCUCUCCAGCCUCCUGCUUGGUAUACGCCUGAACACAUAACAUUGGAAAACCCUGAACUUCCUCUUGGAGUUUCUGAGCUCAGGCAGUAUAGCCGGCCACAAUGUUUUAUGAUUCCUGGCAACCACGAAAUGUGAAGAGAGCUAUGUAAAUAAUGAUGACAAAGGCUACUCCACAACAUGGGCUUAGCCCCAGCCUCUGUACGUAUGUGCCUCCAGUCACACUGGAUGAGCAUGAGCUGGGUAAAGACGUGCUUCGUGCUCUGCGCAGAUGCGCCUGAGGACUCCUGUAGGAUACACCUAGUUUUAGCACCACAAAGAUAUUCUCCAAGUGAGCCGAGUCACGGAUAUGCUUGUCAAUUUUGUCUUUGGUUAAAUAGCAUCCUGUAAUACCUUCCAUGCCCAUUCACCCAAGCUUUCUCCACCUCCAAUGCCCUUGACAACCAUGCCGGUUGUCACCUCUAGCAGAACGACACCAAAACUAUAGAUGUCAGUCUUCUCGCUCGCCUUUCCAUUGUACUGAAAGUAUUCUGCAAAAUUUGCAUUUAGUUAGCGUUCAUUGAAAA